rnacentral:rRNA from 1 species
GUAAUGGCAGGUCAGCAUACUGCCGUGAAUACGUUCCCGGGCCUUGUACACACCGCCCGUCACACCAUGAGAGUUGGGAAUACCCGAAGCCUGUGAGCUAACAUUUAUGAGGCAGCAGUCGAAGGUAGAAUCAAUGAUUGGGGUGAAGUCGUAACAAGGUACC